AGGUGUGUAGCUCAGUGGCAGAGCACGUGCUUAGCACGCACGAGGUCCUGGGUUCAAUCCCCCAGUGCCUCCA
rnacentral:tRNA from 1 species